rnacentral:lncRNA from 1 species
AUUUGGGUAUUUCAACUUUGGGUAUUUCAACUGGCAUUGGCCCCAGUGCUAACAAUUAUGCUUUGUCUGUCUCUAGUGCAAGGAGACCCCAGUUAAUGAGAACCUGAUCUGUUCUGGAGUCGUCGGGUAGGUGGAUUACCGUUCUGUCCGGAGCCGCGUUUAAAUGUGUCAAGUUUGUUAAAAACAUGCCACUAAAGUGACAGUCAUUUCCUUUUUUGUCCCACACAGACUACCACUCCAACAAAUUGAAAAUUCCUCUCAAGCCCUGUGCAACUUCACCAUCACGCAGUAUGCCUGCUCCUCGGUAAGACUGCUAUAUGUCACUGGUGAACCCCAGGAAGAGAUGUGAAUUUUGUUAUGUUACCAUCCAGACGCAAAUCUCCACGAGCUCUGAGACUCUUUCAUUUAUGUCUUGCCCAUUUUUUUCCAAGGCUACGAAUCUCACAGCCCACAGCUUGGCGACACUGAUGAAAUGCUCGCUGGAAGGCCAAACCACAUACCCGGUAGAGGUCUGGAAGCUUUUCUUCCAGAAAGUUUCGUCUGUGCUAGAUGAGGCCCUCGUGUCAUUUGCCACCAUGGCCCCCAACAUCAGCAGCCCAUCCUUGUCACAGGCUCUCGAGGCCCUUGGUGAGGUGAAAAUCAACAACUUCAGCCAGACACAGUUGCACACUGAUGCCUUUGUCAGCAGCUGGUUCCAGACAAAGGCCCGUCCAUUUUUGGCCUCUUCAUCGCCCAACUUCCUGUUCUGCCUCAGCACCAAGAACCUCAGCUGCCAAACAUACCAGAUUGUAAUCCAGGCAUUCAGCAGCCAACAACUAUUGAUGGACAGCAACACACAGCAAGCAGUCUUCACUUACUUCAUUGAACCAUUCCUUUCGAGAAAUGACUCAUCAGAUCCUGGCUGUGUCUCCUCUGUCACAAGUAGUUCACAGUGGAUACAUGCAUUCCUUGGUGGCUUCUCUGGUUUUGCAACCCUGCAGCAAUUGCACGCCCUCAAUCCCAACUUCUCCAGUGUGGAUUCGUUGUCAGUGCUCACUCCUGCUCAGGUUGCAGAGCUGACUAUUGUUUCGGGGGCCUUGAAUGACACGCACCUAAUGUAUAGUGUAUUUGACCGUCUUGAGGAGGGCAACGCUAUGGAAAAUGUCGACCAAUUCCUGACAAAGCUGACAGCCGACGGACAGAUCCCAGUCUUCCAACCUGCUGUGAGGGAUCUGGCAAUGAAUAGGACCUUUACCAUCAUCAGUACCUAUUUCCCGGACUUCAGCUACAGUGACUGGAUUGUGUGGUUCCAUGUGAAACUGGUUCCUCUCCUCCCAAGUUUCAGUCCAACCAUGCUCAUGACUGUAACGUCAAGCACAAACUGCACAACCUACCGUGUCGUUGUGAGUGGCUUGGCCUUGGUUUUCCCUGAAAUACCAUUGCAAACAGCACAAGAGAUCACAGCUGUUUUGCUGGGAUACCUGAAGAAAUCAGUCGCUGUCAUCGGUGAGCCAGCUUGCAGACCGGGAAACCAGAAUGUCACCAAGUGGCUGGACGAAAACUUGGGUCCAUUUUUACAGUUUGCACCAUACGCUGAUCUCAAAGUCUUCAACAUCUCUGCCGUGGCAGUCGUGGGCUCUCUCUCACCAAACCAAAAGGCUGAACUGAUCUUGGAUCCAACCAGUGGCGCUUUGGAGGAUGUGGCCAUCGUACAGAAGGUGUUCGCAAGCUUGACCGAAUCCGCUGGUAUCGAGCAGCUCAGUCUGUUCUUCCUGGCUUUUACAGAAGUCACCAAGCAGGAAAACAUCACCAUCAUCGAGAACCCAGCGGUACGAGAAACCAUCUUGAACCUGACGCUGACAGCCAUUGCUCCUGAAUUUGUACAGUUUGGGCCCCAAGACUUUGGGCUGUGGUUCCAGGUCUAUUUGUCCACCGUGAUGGCGAGCCUCCUUCCCGACAGUUUGGUGGCAAUCCCCAGUAACAUCAGCUGCGCAUCCUACGAAGCCAUACUCACUGGUCUUCAGCAAAGUUUGACAUCGCUGCCACUGGAUCUCUCGCAGGGUGUGCGCUCGACCAUGGAGUCAUUCGAGAUGACAUUUGCACGUAUGUGUCAAAACGCUCUGCUGACAAAGCUUUUCAGAAAAGCCUUUUGCCACCGCAUGAUGGCAG